UACGUAGGGGGCAAGCGUUGUCCGGAUUUAUUGGGCGUAAAGAGCGUGUAGGCGGCCAGAAAAGUCCGCUGUGAAAACUCGAGGCUCAACUUCGAGCUGUCGGUGGAAACUUUCUGGCUAGAGUCCGGAAGAGGAGAAUGGAAUCCUGGUGUAGCGGUGAAAUGCGCAGAUAUCAGGAGGAACACCAAUUGCGAAGGCAGCUCGCUGGGACGUUACUGACGCUGAGACGCGAAAGCGUGGGGAGCAAACAGG
rnacentral:rRNA from 1 species